UCUUGAAGGUAAAUUGACCAGGGUACUAUGAAUUAAUUAAAUUUAAAACUCAAAGGACUUGGCGGUGUCUUAGACCACUUAGGGGAACCUGUCUCGUAAUCGACAAUCCACGUUAUACCUGACCUUUUUUUGUUAUCAGUUUGUAUACCGUUGUCGUCAGGUAACUUUUUAGAAAGAUGAAGUUAGCAAUAUAAAUAUUAUUUGAUACGUCAAAUCAAGGUGCAGCUAAUAAAAAGGAGAGGAUGGGUUACAAUUAUUAUUUGUAAUUACGGAAGGAGGACUUGAAAGUAAAUUAGAGAUAUAUAAUUUGAAUAAGGCUCUGAGACGUGU
rnacentral:rRNA from 1 species